rnacentral:lncRNA from 1 species
CAGAGACUUAGUGUCAGAAGGAGAAGUCAGAAGUAGGAUAUUUAUAGGCCCCUAGGGUCUGGGCUAGAGUGGUUUAAGAUGGGUCAUUCAGUGAGGGAAACUGAUAGGGACUGGGCUGGUUUGUAAUAUAGUUUAGGUUUGGUGGAUACAGCAAAGCAAGGAUCUUGAAGUGACUCUUGAUAAGUAAACUGUUGUUGGAUGAACAAGUUAUUUAUUCAGUCUUAGAUCCUUCAAUAAAUACCAAGCACUUACCACCUGGAUGGUGCACAAUGUUUGGAUAUUAUGAAUGAAACUGCCACGAACUUUUGUGAACAAGUCUUUGUGUGAACACAAGCAUUUAUCUGUCUUGGAAAAAAACCUGGAAUGGAAUGACUAGGUCAUAUGCUAUCUAGAACUGGGUUCUGAAGCAAUGGGAUUUCUGUGAUAAGAAGAAAAAAAUUGUUAAAAUAUUUUUGGAGUGAAAGAUGGAAUAUGGGAAUAUGACCGUGUUAUCUCUCACUAAGGAAUAUCAAGGGGUGUGUGUGGUAUAUUUUGUUUUCAUUCUCAUCUCAGAACCAUGUCCUCCAAUCCCAUCUCAGGAGAAAAUACAGAAGAGUACUGAAAACUGAAAUAACUGCCACUCAUUAUUAUACUCUUCAGAAACAGAUGCAUGUUAUUGCAGUUGCUAGAAACUUCCAGGAUAAUGGAAUUGAAUUCUUGGAAGAUGAGGCUGGAAAAUUUCAUCGUCAUUACGUCAACAUGCUAACAGAUGGUCUGCAAAGCACUUCUCAGGUUUCAUUCAGUAUUUCUGUGAAGAAGCCAGGGGAUCAUGAUGUUCUACUGUGAGAAUGACAGAAAGAGCAAACAAGAACACCUGGGUUACACGAGCUGACUUGCUUCUCUUCAAUGGACAGUAUGAACACAGGUCAGAAUAAUUUCUCCUUUGCAGAGCUACACCAGCACUCUCUCAUGGAAAAGAAUGAGGCAGAGUCAAGGGAGAAAAACAGGAACAUGAGGCUUACAAAUAAUGAUAAAUAUGUCACUAUUCUGAGAGCACCUGUGAUAUACAUACUAUGUCCUUAAACUAAAUGGUUUGGACAAGGUCACCUAUCCAGGGAGGAGGAUCCAAGGCAGUUGAUCUAAGACCUACUUCAAUCCACUUGACCGUAUUUUACUAAUGAGGACAGAGACCAUUAUACUCUGUCACGUUUACAAUGAUAUGAAUAAAUUUUCCUAACAGUUUCUACAAGGUCUUUUUUCUCUUUUUGCAUUUCAAUUGCAUUGUAUGUGAUCAAUUUCAAGUACAAGUGAAUUGCAAGUGGAAAACUUCUGAGAGCAAGUGAGUUGCACUUGACAUUUUGGGUUCCCUGUAGCUGAGUAGCUCUCAAAAAGGUCACAUACAACUUUGUUGCACUGCAAAAUGCCAAGGGCAACUCAGUAGCAAUUGGAAAUUGAAAGGGAAAUUAUAUUCUACCAGAAAUCAGUCACAUGGAUUCUGAAGAAAGAUCUUUGUUCUAUUAAUUGUGUGUGAGGAAAAUAGAAAAUUG